AUGGCGUACGGGCGCGGUAAGGGUUUGUAUCGGCCAAUAAUGGUAUUGUUGCAAGAGCAGAACAUAGGGGUCUUGGAUGCGUGGGUUAUCGGUGUUGUUGCUAACAACGAUUUUGAGUGCUCGCUGGAGAAUGAUGGAGAUGCGUUAGUGUGGCGGAUGAUGUUCCGAGAGUUGCGGAGAUCUAGAUUGGACCAAUGCAGUGGUGUAGUGUUGAAGGGAGUUUGGAGGUCGCGUUGUUGGGGUAGGGCGGACGACUGGGACGAAGGCUAA